rnacentral:rRNA from 1 species
UAGGGAAUCUUCCACAAUGGACGCAAGUCUGAUGGAGCAACGCCGCGUGAGUGAAGAAGGGUUUCGGCUCGUAAAGCUCUGUUGGUAGUGAAGAAAGAUAGAGGUAGUAACUGGCCUUUAUUUGACGGUAAUUACUUAGAAAGUCACGGCCAACUACGUGCCAACAGCCGCGGUAAUACGUAGGUGGCAAGCGUUGUCCGGAUUUAUUGGGCGUAAAGCGAGUGCAGGCGGUUCAAUAAGUCUGAUGUGAAAGCCUUCGGCUCAACCGGAGAAUUGCAUCAGAAACUGUUGAACUUGAGUGCAGAAGAGGAGAGUGGAACUCCAUGUGUAGCGGUGGAAUGCGUAGAUAUAUGGAAGAACACCAGUGGCGAAGGCGGCUCUCUGGUCUGCAACUGACGCUGAGGCUCGAAAGCAUGGGUAGCGAACAGGAUUAGAUACCCUGGUAGUCCAUGCCGUAAACGAUGAGUGCUAAGUGUUGGGAGGUUUCCGCCUCUCAGUGCUGCAGCUAACGCAUUAAGCACUCCGCCUGGGGAGUACGACCGCAAGGUUG